CAGCAGCCGCGGUAAUACGGAGGGUGCAAGCGUUAAUCGGAAUUACUGGGCGUAAAGCGCACGCAGGCGGUCUGUCAAGUCAGAUGUGAAAUCCCCGGGCUUAACCUGGGAACUGCAUUUGAAACUGGCAGGCUAGAGUCUUGUAGAGGGGGGUAGAAUUCCAGGUGUAGCGGUGAAAUGCGUAGAGAUCUGGAGGAAUACCGGUGGCGAAGGCGGCCCCCUGGACAAAGACUGACGCUCAGGUGCGAAAGCGUGGGGAGCAAACAGGAUUAGAUACCCGUGUAGUCCCUGUCUCUUAUAA
rnacentral:rRNA from 1 species